AGAGUAACGUUUACAUCUGGUACUAAUAUCCACUGAAGGGAAAAAUAUAUAGACAUAACUUGUUACAUCUGGUUCUAAUAUCACCAGAAACAAAACUGAACGCGGUGGCAAUAUUGUAAUUAUGGCGAAAACACAGUACACCAAAUAAGUGACUAACUGAGAAAACACAGUGCACCAGUCUCGCGAACUUCAAGCGCUCGAGAACAAAAAGGAAGGUCACGCGAUUUUAGCAAAACCUCAAGAACAACAAACCCUCAAUCCCUCUCUCGAUUCGAAACUCUCUCAAUCAGGACAAUCCCUCACUCUCACUCGUCCUCUCUCACUCGUUCUGUCAAUUUCGUCAUCUCUCUCGGUGGUUCUCGAACCCUAGGUCCCAAAUCGAAGUUCAGUGAAACAAAUUGAAGCUUCUCUCAGAUCGUUCCUCUCACUACAACUAAAAACACAAACAGGCUGCUGCUACAAGAUCUUUAGCAAGGGGUACCAAUUUUGAUUCAGUUAUUUCUAUGUUGAAGGAGGAUAUUUUGUGUAGUUAAAACUAUUAUUCUAGGAGGAGUUCAAAAACCUUAUUGCUUUGUGAAACGUAUCUUCCCUCGGAUUCAUGAUUCAUGGACUGGUUAUCAUUCUCAAUGAUAUAUUUGGCAGGUUAUUCCACAAUUGUCUACCCCGAUUAAGGUGGAGCCUAAUGAAGGUUCAGCUUCAAUUGCCACGUCCAGCGAAUCCGUGGUUGAUGCUCUCAAAGUUAAGGAAUGGGAAGUAGGAAUGUUUCAUAAUGAGGUUGCUGCUACGCAAGGUAUAAGAAUAAGGAGAAGACCACCAACUGGACCACCUAUUCAUUACGUAGGACCUUUUGAAUUCCGGUUGGAGAAUGAAGGCAAUACGCCUCGUAAUAUCUUGGAAGAGAUUAUAUGGAACAAGGACAUAGAAGUCAGACAUGUAUUAUACUUGUAAAAUUUGUAAAAUUCAAACAACCCAAUUCAUUGUGCCAUACAAUCUCCUUGCCCCUGCCAGUUACUAUACAAAAGAUAAAUAAAAUCUUCUCUUUUUUCCCAAAUCAAAACAGGCAUAACUUCCUCCAAAUUUCAACCGGUUAGUAAGCAGCGGUGAAAAAUAAGCAUGCGGGUACUAGAAUAUCCGGAUUUCGCCAAAAAAAACUCCUCGGUUCUCUCUUGAUUUGCUUUUAUCUUCUCUCUUUCUUUUUUUUUUUUUGUAAUGUUUUCCUCUCAAUUUCAUUAUUUCCUGUAUUGAUGGCAUUUUAUUCAUUUAAUUUUUAGUGUGUUUUCAAUGGCAGGGUAAAAAAAUUUAAUGAGAUCACAUGGAUCCCGAGAAAAAAUUGGGCCUUUGUGAAGGUGUUCGAUGAUCCCACGUCAUUAACCGAGGAGGAGAUGUAUGAAUUGCGAAACAACUGGGCUACUUGUUUUCUUGACCUGUACAAUCCCGAGGUAGAUUAUGUUGUUUCCGAUGAUGAGGUUUAGGAGCUAGCUAGUUACAAUGGAUUCACAUUAACUAGGAUGUUUUGAAUUGUAAUGACUUGUAUUUUGCUUGAAUGUUAUAACAUUUUGGAUUGUUUUGGUAUUUUGCUUGACU